rnacentral:rRNA from 1 species
UACGUAGGGUGCAAGCGUUGUCCGGAAUUAUUGGGCGUAAAGAGCUCGUAGGCAGUUUGUCGCGUCUGCCGUGAAAGUCCGGGGCUCAACUCCGGAUCUGCGGUGGGUACGGGCAGACUAGAGUGAUGUAGGGGAGACUGGAAUUCCUGGUGUAGCGGUGAAAUGCGCAGAUAUCAGGAGGAACACCGAUGGCGAAGGCAGGUCUCUGGGCAUUAACUGACGCUGAGGAGCGAAAGCAUGGGGAGCGAACAGG